GGCUGGUCCGUGUGCAGUGGUGUUUACAACUAAUUGAUAACAAUGAGUUACAGAUUUCUUUGUUCCUUCUCUACUCCCACUGCUUCACUUGACUAGCCUUAA
rnacentral:Y_RNA from 2 species